rnacentral:rRNA from 1 species
GACGAACCGUGCGAACGUUGUUCGGAAUCACUGGGCUUAAAGGGCGCGUAGGUGGUUUGCCAAGUCGGGGUUGAAAUCUUUCGGCUUAACCGGAAAAGUGGCUUCGAUACUGGCAAGCUGGAGGGAGGUAGGGGCGGAUGGAACUUCCGGUGGAGCGGUGAAAUGUGUUGAUAUCGGAAGGAACGCCGGUGGCGAAAGCGAUCCGCUGGACCUCUUCUGACACUGAGACGCGAAAGCGUGGGGAGCAAACAGG